GGAGGGGGCGCCAGGCAGGGCCUGUCCCGCCUGGGGAGACUGCGCCCGGGAUAAUAGGAGCGCUUGGCCUCUGAGACUACCCGGCAGAAGGGACGUCCCCAAAUGACACUCGGAGGCCGCCUCCCUGGGCUCCGGUGCUCGGUGCCGGGAGGAGCGGCACGGCUUUCUACCCCGCCUCAGGUGCGCCAGCACGUUUUCUGGGCAGCAUCUGUGUGUUAGGCGACCGGAGAGGUGGGUUCCUUAUAGGGAAUAAGAAAACUGAAACUGACUUCCAACUGCAGGCAGAAGGAAGCAGUGGUCAUUGCUGGAGGUUAAAACUGUUCUGACCGGGCGCAGUGGCUCACGCCUGUAUUCCCAGCACUUUGGGAGGCUGAGGCGAGCAGAUCACGAAGUCAGGAGAUCAAGACCAUCCUGGCCAACAAGGUGAAACCCCGGCUCUACUAAAAAUACAAAAAUUAGCUGGGCGUGGUGGCGCGCGCCGGAAGUCCCAGCUACUUGGGAGGAUGAGGCAGAAGAAUCGCUUGAACCCGGGAGGCGGAGGUUGCGGUGAGCCGAGAUCGCGCCAUUGCACUCCAGCCUGGCGACUCAGCGAUACUCCGUCCCCCUCUCCCCGCCCCAAGAAAAAUCUGUUCAGUGGGGAGCGACAAGGAAGGAGCUUUCAGCCCGACUGGGGUCGCAGGGAAGAAUUCAAGAUGGCGUGUUUAGGAGCUCUAGCUCCUUGACAAAUUAGUAAAAUGUUAGUCUUAGGAGAAGAACGAAAAGGCUCUCCUAGGCUAAGAAACAGCAUACACAGUGAGAAACCUCAGAAGAAAUAAAAUUCAAGGAAGAUAGCAACAACGAAAACAUCAGAAGGAACACUAAAGUAGUCAAAUCAGCCUAGCAGAAACAAAGUACGUUAACCAAUGGAAAACUGACGGAGAGAAAUAAACUGUUUUUGCACAGCUAAAUGGAAAUGACUUUUGAAUUAUCUGCUUUGGAAGAUUAUCCAUGACACUGUUCUGCCCUGCUCUGCUCUAACAACAUUUUUUUUAUACAGGCAGAGAAAUAAUAGUGAUUCUGCUCACCUAAAGGAAGAUAGACCCAAUUCAAAGUGCCUAAGUCCUGAAUGACAACAAAAGACUGAAGAACUGACAACGAUUAGAGGACACUAAGGAGACUUAACAACUAAAUGCAAAAUGGGACCCUGAAUCUGAUCCUGGAACACAAAAACUAAAUUAGUAGAAAAGUGGUAAAAUAGGUGGUCGCGCGCCCGACCGCCGCAGUCCCAGUCGAGCCGCGACCCUUCCGGCUGCCCCCACCCCACCUCGCCGCCAUGUGCCUCCGCCGCCCAGCGCUGUUCCCGGGCGUGGCGCUGCUUCUCGCCGCGGCCCGCCUCGCGGCUGCCUCCGACGUGCUAGGACUCAGGGACGACAACUUGGAGAGUCGCAUCUCCGACACGGGCUCUGCGGGCCUCAUGCUCGUCGAGUUCUUCGCCCCCUGGUGUGGACACUGCAAGAGACUUGCUCCUGAGUAUGAAGCUGCAGCUACCAGAUUAAAAGGAAUAGUCCCAUUAGCAAAGGCUGAUUGCACUGCCAACACUAACACCUGUAAUAAAUAUGGAGUCAGUGGAUAUCCAACCCUGAAUAUGUUUAGAGAUGGUGAAGAAGCAGGUGCUUAUGAUGGACCUAGGACUGCUGAUGGAAUUGUCAGCCACCUGAAGAAGCAGGCAGGCCCAGCUUCAGUGCCUCUCAGGACUGAGGAAGAAUUUAAGAAAUUCAUUAGUGAUAAAGAUGCCUCUAUAGUAGGUUUUUUCGAUGAUUCAUUCAGUGAAGCUCACUCCGAGUUCCUAAAAGCAGCCAGCAACUUGAGGGAUAACUACCGAUUUGCACAUACGAAUGUUGAGUCUCUGGUGAACGAGUAUGAUGAUAACGGAGAUGGUAUCAUCUUAUUUCGUCCUUCACAUCUCACUAACAAGUUGGAGGACAAGACUGUGGCAUAUACAGUGCAAAAAAUGACCAGUGGCAAAAUUAAAAAGUUUAUCCAGGAAAACAUUUUUGGUAUCUGCCCUCACAUGACAGAAGACAAUAAAGAUUUGAUACAGGGCAAGGACUUACUUAUUGCUUACUAUGAUGUGGACUAUGAAAAGAAUGCUAAAGGUUCCAACUACUGGAGAAACAGGGUAAUGAUGGUGGCAAAGAAAUUCCUGGAUGCUGGGCACAAACUCAACUUUGCUGUAGCUAGCCGCAAAACCUUUAGCCAUGAACUUUCUGAUUUUGGCUUGGAGAGCACUGCUGGAGAGAUUCCUGUUGUUGCUAUCAGAACUGCUAAAGGAGAGAAGUUUGUCAUGCAGGAGGAUUUCUCGCGUGAUGGGAAUGCUCUGGAGAGGUUCCUGCAGGAUUACUUUGAUGGCAAUCUGAAGAGAUACCUGAAGUCUGAACCUAUCCCAGAGAGCAAUGAUGGGCCUGUGAAGGUAGUGGUAGCAGAGAAUUUUGAUGAAAUAGUGAAUAAUGAAAAUAAAGAUGUGCUGAUUGAAUUUUAUGCCCCUUGGUGUGGUCACUGUAAGAACCUGGAGCCCAAGUAUAAAGAACUUGGCGAGAAGCUCAGCAAAGACCUGAAUAUCGUCAUAGCCAAGAUGGAUGCCACAGCCAAUGAUGUGCCUUCUCCAUAUGAAGUCAGAGUUUUCCUACCAUAUACUUCUCUCCAGCCAACAAGAAGCUAAAUCCAAAGAAAUAUGAAGGUGGCCAUGAAUUAAGUGAUUUUAUUAGCUAUCUACAACGAGAAGCUACAAACCCCCCUGUAAUUCAAGAAGAAAAACCCAAGAAGAAGAAGGCACAGGAGGAUCUCUAAAGCAGUAGGCAAACACCACUUUGUAAAAGGACUCUUCCACCAGAGAUGGGAAAACCACUGGGGAGGACUAGGACCCAUAUGGGAAUUAUUACGUCUCAGGGCCGAGAGGACAGAAUGGAUAUAAUCUGAAUCCUGUUAAAUUUUCUCUAAGCCAUUUCUUAGCUGCACUGUUAUGGAAAUACCAGGACCAGUUUAUGUUUGUGGUUUUGGGAAAAAUUAUUGGUGUUGGGGGAAAUGUUGUGGGAGUCGGGUUGAGUUGGGGGUAUUUUCUAAUUUUUUUGUGCAUUUGGAACAGUGACAAUAAAUAAGACCCCUUUAAACUGUAAAAAAAAAAAAAAUAGGAAUGCGGUCCAUGGUUUACUUAAUCGUAUAAUAUCAGUGUUCAUUUUCUUAUUUUGAUAAUUGUCAUAAUGUUGUGUGAAAUAUUCUCUUUAGGGAGCCUGGGAAAGAAUAUAUAAGAACUCUACUAUUUUUGUAACUUUUGUGGAGGACUGCAAUCAUUUCUAAAUAAAUAGUCUUAAAAAUAACUAAAGUAAUAAAAAUAAU
rnacentral:lncRNA from 1 species